CCCAUGAAGAAUUAUGCAGGAUGUUCUUUUUACCAGAGCCAGAAGAUGGGGAAUUUGUAAAGCUUAUGCUGAAAGCGAACAGGCUUUAGUCCAUGAGAAGUGUGUUAGACCAGAAGGUCUGGAAGGGAUAGUUCAUGCUUCAGGUCUGCUUACGAGAAUUAUACACCAAAACCAAGCACAACACCGGAUAUUAUUGAAAAGUCUGUGCCGUGGAAAUACUGAUGCUACUGGGUCAAGUACUCAGAUGCUAUGCUGUUGUAUGAAUCCAGCUAUGCUGCUACAUUAUUCUUCUGUCUUCGAUUUUCUAUGGUAAAUGUAGCAUUGGGGUUAGUUAUAUUAGCAUUAGCUAUAUUGGGGGUUUGCUGUUACUUGUUUUUUCUUUCUUUA